CCUACGGGUGGCUGCAGUGGGGAAUAUUGGACAAUGGGCGAAAGCCUGAUCCAGCCAUGCCGCGUGUGUGAAGAAGGCCUUCGGGUUGUAAAGCACUUUCAGUGGGGAAGAAAGCCUUGGGGCUAAUACCCUCGAGGAAGGACAUCACCCACAGAAGAAGCACCGGCUAACUCCGUGCCAGCAGCCGCGGUAAUACGGAGGGUGCGAGCGUUAAUCGGAAUUACUGGGCGUAAAGCGCGCGUAGGCGGUCUGAUAAGCCGGUUGUGAAAGCCCCGGGCUCAACCUGGGAACGGCAUCCGGAACUGUCAGGCUAGAGUGCAGGAGAGGAAGGUAGAAUUCCCGGUGUAGCGGUGAAAUGCGUAGAGAUCGGGAGGAAUACCAGUGGCGAAGGCGGCCUUCUGGACUGACACUGACGCUGAGGUGCGAAAGCGUGGGUAGCAAACAGGAUUAGAUCCCUAGUGUC
rnacentral:rRNA from 1 species